UGCAUCGACAGGCGGAUUCUUUACCACUGAGCCACCAGGGAAGCCCCAAGAAACGUCUUCUAUCCUGGCUCCUCAGAGCUCUCUGAGAGGUGGUGUCCUAGGUUGCAGUCCUCAGUAAGAUGCCUGGACUCACAACUUUUAGAUUGCACCGUGGGCGGCCAGGCUGCACCUCCAGGUCUACGAGUCAUACCUUGCAUAGAGCGAGAAUGGAAGCUUUGCCUUCAACAGAGGAGAGGGUUGGUCUGUCUCAACAUUUGAAAGUAUGCAUAAGCACCAGGAUGAGCCUCUGCAUCUUCAAAAAGUGCCCUUGGAAGGCAUUCAUCUCACCUAAAUGGAAAAAGUGCUCAUUAGGCAAUGGCACCCCACUCCAGUACUCUUGCCUGGAAAAUCCUAUGGACAGAGGA